rnacentral:RNase_P_RNA from 1 species
GUGAUGGGUCGCCCCACCGCGGCGCCAAACGCAAGAAUGGCGACGAGGAAAGUCCGGGCAACGCAGAGCACCCUGCUUCCUAACGGGAAGGACUGGGCGGCGUAAAGCUUCUCAGGACAGCCAGUGCCACAGAAAAGUACCGCCAGGCGGUGAAGUUGUGAAAGGUGAAGUUGUGAAUUUCACAAUCUCACCAUUUCACCAUCUCACUUUUGGUAAGGGUGAAAAGGUGCGGUAAGAGCGCACCAGCGGCUGGGUGACCAGUCCGGCUGGGUAAACCUCAGGGGUUGAAAGACCAAAUAAGCCAGUACGCGGCCCUUCGGGGGCGCACCGGGCGGCUCGUCCGGCGCUGGCGGGUAGGUUGAUGGAGCCCGCGCGCAAGUUCGGGCCUAGAUAAAUGGUGGGGCCGCGUGCUUUCGGGCGGGCGGACAAAACCCGGCUUACAGACUCAUCACGCCA